UACGGUAGGGUCCGAGCGUUUGUCCGGAAUUAUUGGGCGUAAAGGGCUCGUAGGCGGUUUGUCGCGUCGGGAGUGAAAACAUCUGGCUUAACUGGGUGCUUGCUUCGAUACGGGCAGACUGGAGGUAUGCAGGGGAGAACGGAAUUCCUGGUGUAGCGGUGAAAUGCGCAGAUAUCAGGAGGAACAGCCGGUGGCGAAGGCGGUUCUCUGGGCCGAUACUGACGCUGAGGAGCGAAAGCGUGGGGAGCGAACAGG
rnacentral:rRNA from 1 species